UAUUAAUAUAAUUAUAGCAAUUUGUGAAGAUUUAUUGAUGAUGACGUAAUUUAGGAAAUAGUGUUCUAAUUGGAAGGUGUUAGCCUCCAAUUCGAACGCGUUCUUAAAAUUUAGGACGGGAUUGGAUAGGAUCUUUAAAUUGAGGGACCAAUGCAUUCCUACCAAAUGUAUACCCUUUGAAAAAUCUUGUAAUGAACAAAUUUAUAAUGAACUUAAUAAUGAACCAGUACCACAAUAAUAUUAUGCAGUAGAGUUGGGAAUAGUCUUUAUAAUUUAAUUCCCAAUUGAGUUCAAAAUCUUUGCUCCCAAGUCUAAAUCUUUGAAUAUUUUCAUCAAGUCCAGUUUGAGUCCUCAAAUUUCUUUUAAGUUUUAUGGUAUUUUUUUAUACUAAAAUUAUAAUAUAGGAUAGAUAUGUUAAUACUUCUCAUGAACUCAGUAUAAACUAGCUAAUGGGUCCAAGUCGAGUUGAGAGUCUUAGCUAUCGAUUUCAAGUAAUGUCUCCAGUCUUUGAAAUUGAUUUCAAAUCGAGUUGAAAGUUUUCAAAACCUAAACUAAAGUCCAUUUGGAGUCGCAAAUAUUCAUAAUAUGGACACAAUCCAAUUUGAAACGCAAGUCUUGAGUACAAGUCCUUCUCAUAUCCGAUAUAUACAGUACAAUACUAAUAGUCACAAACACUAUUAGUCUUUCGUGCUCUAAAUAAAAUGAAAAGGCCCUUUAAAAAUCAGCAUGUGACAACAAUAUAUAUUUUAUAUUUAAAUAGUAUUGAUUGAAUACCUAAAUGAAAUAGGAUGGAUAAUAAAACGACAACCGCAAAUACCAAUGAAAAUGCAUUACUUCUUCUGAAUAAAGUGCAUCGAUUGUGUAUUUUAUGUAUAUAUUAUAAAUUUAUUAUAAAAAAAAGACUUGCAUCCAAUAUACGGAGAACCCCAUAUAUAUAAGCUAUUCAAAUAUAUAUCUGCAAAAUAUUUAA
rnacentral:lncRNA from 1 species